CAAUAGCCAUGGUGACAUUUCUGCAGAAGAGAGACAAAACUAAGUUGGCAUCGUUGUGACAAUCAAGGGUCUGGGGAAUGGACAAGGACUUAAGAAUCCUGAAACGUUUAUUUGACAACAAUGGAGAUUUUUCACAAGCUAGAAAGAGGAACAGACAGAAGACUCUUCAAGGUCGCCAAAUCUAAGAAAAAAGAGACCAGAAAAUUCUGUGUAAGUUCUUCCCCACCUUUGCACUGGCGCACUGAACAUUUACCUGGAAAAAUGUUUCCACGUGUUGUCGGGGUGCGUCCUCUUUGAGAACAGGGUUAGCUGCACCACAGGAACCCCAAGACAUCUCCCUACCUUCCCCAGCUCUAUGGGCGUCAGGAGCGAUGAAGAAAAGUGCGGUAUUACACAGCCCUCCCACCUCGGCUGCUGCUUCGUUUCCCUGGCAGUAGUAGUUCGGGUUGGAUAACGCCUGUUCAGCUAGAUGGCCACUUACGCCGCAAACACCGAGCUCCUUGAAAUACAGUCUCAGUAACUCAUUUUGAAAUACCUUUGGAAAAUUUCCAUCUUACUGGGGCAAUUAAGGCUUAUUUCCAGUCAAUUGUGAUUGCUGGUCUUAGUGGAAAGAGUUGAAAGUUUCCACUACUGCCUACAUCAAAUUGCUUUUUAAGUUUGAAAUUGUGUGUCAUUGAAAAUUUAAUAGGCACAGGUUAUUUCUGCAGUUACGAAUUCACUCUGAUCAUUACCAGUCAAUGUUAUAAUUUCCUCACUAACAAUGUAUCAAAAAUUAGACUGUAUUCCUAAUUAAAAUAGUAAAUAAAUCAAUUCUUUUAAGAGA